rnacentral:rRNA from 1 species
GACGUAGGAGGCGAGCGUUGUCCGGAUUCAUUGGGCGUAAAGAGCGCGCAGGCGGCUUGGUAAGUCGGAUGUGAAAUCCCGAGGCUCAACCUCGGGUCUGCAUCCGAUACUGCCCGGCUAGAGGUAGGUAGGGGAGAUCGGAAUUCCUGGUGUAGCGGUGAAAUGCGUAGAUAUCUGGAGGAACACCGGUGGCGAAAGCGGCUCACUGGAUCGAAACUGACGCUGAGGUGCGAAAGCUAGGGUAGCAAACGGG